rnacentral:rRNA from 1 species
UAGGGGGGAAACCCUGAUGCAGCCAUGCCGCGUGUGUGAAGAAGGCCUUCGGGGUUGUAAAGCACUUUCAGUAGGGGAGGAAGGUAGUUGUAGUUUAACACCUGCACUUAUUUUGACGUUUACCUACAGAAGAAGCACCGGCUAACUCCGUGCCAGCAGCCGCGGUAAUACGGAGGGUGCGAGCGUUAAUCGGAAAUUACUGGGCGUAAAGCGCAUGCAGGCGGCCUGUUAAGUCAGAUGUGAAAGCCCGGGGGCUUAACCUCGGAAUUGCAUUUGAAACUGGCAGGCUAGAGUCUUGUAGAGGGGGGUAGGAAUUUCAGGUGUAGCGGUGAAAUGCGUAGAGAUCUGAAGGAAUACCAGUGGCGAAGGCGGCCCCCUCGGACAAAGACUGACGCUCAGACUGCGAAAGCGUGGGGAGCCAAACAGGAUUAGAUACCCUGGUGG